rnacentral:misc_RNA from 1 species
GAAUUCGUGUCGUCGCUUGCAUUGAACGCAUGUGAGUGCGUUGCUUACGUAGGUGCCCCCCUUUCUCCUGCAUCCGUAUGCUUAUCUCUGUCUUGUAUACACACAAUGCCCCGCAUAACCUCCCAUCACACGAUCCCGCCACUACCGUCGCAGGCGCCAGGCCGGCACGGAGCUGCAGUUGGGAUGGCCUCGGCAGUCGCCGAGCCCGACUCAGCUCAGAUGGCACAGGAUAAGAUUACGCUGCUGCAGGCACUGGUGCAGCCCACACGGUACCGCCGCCGUGUGCAGCCGCAGUUUGAGGCCUUCAACCUCGAGGACCCGGACUACAUGAAGUACAGCCUAAAGGCCUACUGGCCCCAUCAUCUCGGCAGCGGUGCUGUAACCGCUGAUCGUGCUGCGCCACGUCAGCCAGGGUCUGAAAACCGUGGCAGCACCUCCUUAGCAGCGGCGCAGUCCCGCAUGUCACCGCAGCCACUUUGGCUGGCGAACGGUGCACCUCCGUCACUCUCGGCGGCAUAUGGUGGUCCACAUCGCAUGGGGUCGUGCAACAUGGACCGUGGCCAGCAGCCGCACUGCAAGGAACUCACGACACGGCCGCCGCCGGUCCUUCCUGGUGCUGGUCGCAGAAGCAGCUCAUCUGGCUAUCGACUUUCACCUGGCCGCAGAGAUGAGGAGGAGGGAUGGCCCACCACGCUGUCGGGAUACCAAGGCGCCAGCGAACUGUACAGCGAACACGACGACUAUAGUGCAGGUGGUGCAUCUGACCACGCCGCAUACAAUGACGGCCACCGCCAUUCAGAGCGACCGGCACCGCAGCACCCCAAACAACAGCCACACGAGUGCUCGUCAUCUUCGCAGCAAGAGGAGGAGAACAGAAGUCGCCGCCCCUCCGCGUACGACACCCAACCCGAGCGCGAGAAAAGGCACCGUGAUGAAGAGCGACCGGCUGGCCAGCCUCGCCGCUCGAGCACUUCGAACGCUCACGCGCUCAGCAUUGACGAUGGCGCGCACCGGCGCUCGGGGCUCGGCGGCUGCGGCGACUCUGCCACGGCUGACUGCCACGACCAAUAUGGGCCUAGAACUGGAGAGUGUGGCGUAGACAGCAGCCGCCCGCCGCGCUUCGAGGCGGCUCUGCCGGUGGGGGCGCAGCAUUAUGGAUGGCCGCACACCGUCGGUGCCAACGGAGGCGCGAGGGACACUGUCGGCAAUGGUCAAGUGGGCGAAGCGGAUGAAGGCGAGGGCUUUGAAGACGGCGAUGGCUCGUAUGGGGAUGGCGGUGCAGAGUGGGGGGCUGCUCUCGAUGAGUGGGACGAUGACGAGGAAGGCGGUGCGGCCCCAGUCAGGGGGCACAACCUUUACGCCAACGACGGCGAGGAGUGGAUGGACACGAGGGACGGUGCGUAUCAUGACCGUGAUGAUGACGCUGACAGCGAGCCCUCACAUCUCCGGCCGCCUCCGCCUGCAUCGAAGAAGCAGCGACCUCAGCCGUCUCUGCGUGCGUCGUUGCCAGCGGAGGCGCCAGCUCCUCCAUCACAGCAUCGACACCAGCGCCCCACUAGUCAUAUCCAGCAGCAGGCGGCUGGCGUGGCAGCGUUGCAGCCGUCGAGCAAAGGGUCGCAGCAGCCGCGGCCCGUCGAGGGAGAGGUCGACCAGUCUUCCAAGAGGGACAAGAAGAAGACGCGGUCGAACAAGCACAACCCGCGCGCCUUCCUGAACAGGACGGCGCACACUUGGGUAUCGACGAACACGACCACCACGGUGAUUCUGCCUCCCGCCACGGUGCCGCUAGUGCCGAUGUCGGCGUUUGCCAUGGCCGAGGUGAGGCAGCCCGUGGAUGGCCGCUGGGCUGCCUCGGCAGUGUUACCCCCGCCGUCGCCACACUCUAUGAGUUCUCAAUCAAUGCCGGGCUAUCAGCAGCGGCGCUCGCAGAUGGAGGUGCUCGAUGACAGCGGUAACUCCAUCUCGAAUGGACGCAAGCACGUUGGCAACUCCCUUCCAUGCUUGCCAAGCCGCAACACGGUAUAGGAGGAUGCGGUGCACCACAGCAUGCCUGAGCUGUGAUGGAGCGUGUGCAGUUCCACCACAGGACCGGGGGCGGGGGGAAGUGGCUUGCCAGCAUGAAUGUGUGUGUGUGCGGUCUCUCUCGCUUUUUCUUUUUGGGUUUAAACCGCCCACCGUUUCAAGAAUUCAUAGUUGAGGGUGAGCCUUUCCGGGGGCUGAGGCGAUGGGGGCGGGGGGCUGCGGUGACGGCCAACGAAAGAGGAGAGUGCAGCAGCUCUCUGCAUCUGCGCAGAAGGGGCGAGAGAUAGAGGCAGGCGGAGUGGGAUGAGAGAAAUUGAAUACACGGACACGCACAGACGGAGCUUACUGGCAAACAUCCCGCCCUUCCUGUGUGUGUGUGUGGAGGGGGGAGGGUGAGCGGAGGCGGAGCGCGAAGCUUUAUGACAUGAAGCUGAUCACGCCUUCGACCUUGCCUUCUCGUUCUCGUUCUCCGCACACCCCAAUCUCGCCCACCUUCACAUCCGCCAGGGCGCAUCCCCGCCGAACCGCCACAGCCCCGAGAGUUGGUACCGGCACCUGCGCAUAAACAGCGGCCGACCUUCUCCCCCCUCUCCCACCGCUGCUCUUUGCUCACCCGCCCGCAUGGCCGAAGACGCCUCUGACGUUUCAAAUUUUUUUUUAUUUUCUGGACCAUUGUUUCUUCGGCGCCGGCGUCCCCCCUCUUCCUCCCUCCUCCUCAUACCCUCUUUCCCUCCCAUCCGCAUCCACGCGCACGCAUGGCUCUGUCUCCUACUGCCUGUGUUGGCCUGGCGCUUCUUUCCGUUGUACAUUGCUGUGCUCUGUUUCUCUGCAGGCGGGGCUUUACUUCCUGGCGCAGCGGCUCGACCCUCGCUCACAUCCUCUUCUCUUGUUGUUGUUGUCGUUUGUGGCUGCGCACGCGCCUCCCUCGCUGCCUCGGCGUCUUUUGUUACUGCGCUCUGUGUCACUGCCGGACCCCUUUGAUGACCGGAGGAAGGGGCGAGAGAGCUGAUGUGUAUGGGUGGAUGACGGGAGAGGAGGUGGCGGGUGGGGGAGGGCUCUUGUGGGUGUGGGUAUGUGUGCAUGUAAGAUGUGUGUCGGUGUCGGCAUCGCCCCGCUUCCCUCCUUCCUCACCUCUCACUCUCGCGCUCUCUCAAACGGUUUGUGAAUCUUCUCCUUCCGUCUGCCACUGCCUUUUGUGGGUUUGCCGGCGUGUCUUGGGUGUGCGACGUCUCUGUGCUUCGGCGGCGGCGGCGGGUGGUGGGCACCGCUGCUCUUUUUUUUUUACUUCAUUGAUGUGCAGGCUUGUGUAGGUGUUCGCUCG